AUCGCUUCUCGGCCUUUUGGCUAAGAUCAAGUGUAGUAACAUUGGGUGUACCAGCCCUAAGCCAAUAUGGGAGUGGGUGUUUAUUGUGAAAUUUACUUUUACAGAUUCUAGAUGUUACCUGGAACCUUUAUUGCACUAACUCCCUGUAAUAAAAUAUUGAACUCUGGUUUAAGCAAAAGUUACUUUG